rnacentral:rRNA from 1 species
AUCAACAGCCAUCCCACCCUGAACGCGCCCGAUCUUGUCCGGUCUCAGAAGCUAAGCAGGGUCGGGCCUGGUUAGUACUUGGGUGGGAGACAAAGAAUGGAGGAACAAAUAGUU